UUUUUGUUUUGCUAACUGCCAUCACGAGCGCCGACCUUCAUCUUUGUUCUUUAUUUCAUUAAGUCGAACUCAGGAUCCACCUGUGUUUCCCCAUUGUGGUAGCCGUCAGAUCCUGACCCCCACGUUGCAUGUUGUAUCAAGGCCAUGAAUUCUUAGAGCACAUAUCUUGGCGAGAUUUUAGCACCAAUCCCCAGGUUCACAAGUUAAUGAUGAUGCCAUUGAGAUUAGAAGACAACGAGAGAGAAUCCGGUCUGCCGCCAUGACUGAUGAACAAAGGAAUGAAAGAAAUAAAAAGCGGCGUGAGGCUUCUUAUAAGAGGAAGAAGGAUAACAUACACAACAAAGAAAAUG